rnacentral:rRNA from 1 species
AUUAUGGCUCAGAACGAACGCUGGUAGCGUGGAUUAGGCAUGCAAGUCGAACGGGAUCCGGAAGGCAGGCAAUGUCGGCCGGUGAGAGUGGCGGAAGGGCGAGGAACACGUGGGCAACCUGUCUUGAGGUGGGGAAAACCUCGGGAAACUGAGGCUAAUACCGAAUGUGGCGCGGAAGGGCAUCCUUCCUGCGCUAAAGGGGGCGAAAGCUCCCCCUCUUCGAGGGGCUCGCGCACCAUCAGCUAGUUGGCGGGUAACGGCCCACCAAGGCUCACGGUUAGCUGGUCUGAGAGGAUGGCCAGCCGCACUGGGACUGAGAUACUGCCCAGACUCCUACGGGAGGCUGCAGUCGAGGAUCAUUCGCAAUGGGCGAAAGCCUGACGAUGCGACGCUGCGUGGAGGAAUGAAGGCCUUCGGGUUGUAAACUCCUGUCAUGAGGGAAAAGGAGACCCUGCCCAAUACGCAGGGGAUUUGAUGGUACCUCAAGAGGAAGGGACGGCUAACUCUGUGCCAGCAGCCGC